GAUGAACGCUAGCGGCAGGCUUAACACAUGCAAGUCGAGGGGUAGGAGAAGCUUGCUUUUCUGAGACCGGCGCACGGGUGCGUAACGCGUAUGCAAUCUACCUUUCACAGAGGGAUAGCCCAGAGAAAUUUGGAUUAAUACCUCAUAGUAUAAUUGAGUGGCAUCAUUUAAUUAUUAAAGAUUUAUCGGUGAAAGAUGAGCAUGCGUCCCAUUAGCUAGUUGGUAUGGUAACGGCAUACCAAGGCAACGAUGGGUAGGGGUCCUGAGAGGGAGAUCCCCCACACUGGUACUGAGACACGGACCAGACUCCUACGGGAGGCAGCAGUGAGGAAUAUUGGACAAUGGGCGCAAGCCUGAUCCAGCCAUGCCGCGUGCAGGAUGACGGUCCUAUGGAUUGUAAACUGCUUUUAUACAGGAAGAAACACCUCUACGUGUAGAGACUUGACGGUACUGUAAGAAUAAGGAUCGGCUAACUCCGUGCCAGCAGCCGCGGUAAUACGGAGGAUCCAAGCGUUAUCCGGAAUCAUUGGGUUUAAAGGGUCCGUAGGCGGUCAGGUAAGUCAGUGGUGAAAGCCCAUCGCUCAACGGUGGAACGGCCAUUGAUACUGUCUGACUUGAAUUAUUAGGAAGUAACUAGAAUAUGUAGUGUAGCGGUGAAAUGCUUAGAGAUUACAUGGAAUACCAAUUGCGAAGGCAGGUUACUACUAAUUGAUUGACGCUGAUGGACGAAAGCGUGGGUAGCGAACAGGAUUAGAUACCCUGGUAGUCCACGCCGUAAACGAUGGAUACUAGCUGUUGGGAGCAAUCUCAGUGGCUAAGCGAAAGUGAUAAGUAUCCCACCUGGGGAGUACGAACGCAAGUUUGAAACUCAAAGGAAUUGACGGGGGCCCGCACAAGCGGUGGAGCAUGUGGUUUAAUUCGAUGAUACGCGAGGAACCUUACCAAGGCUUAAAUGUAGAUUGACCGUUUGGAAACAGAACU
rnacentral:rRNA from 1 species